GUCAGGAUGGCCGAGUGGUCUAAGGCACUGCAUUCAGCUUGCAGGCCUCUUUAGAGGCGUGGAUUCAAAUUCCACUUCUGACA